UACGGAGGGUGCAAGCGUUAUCCGGAUUCACUGGGUUUAAAGGGAGCGUAGGUGGGUUUGUAAGUCAGUGGUGAAAUCUCCGUGCUUAACUUGGAAACUGCCAUUGAUACUAUCAAUCUUGAAUACCGUGGAGGUCAGCGGAAUAUGUCAUGUAGCGGUGAAAUGCUUAGAUAUGACAUAGAACACCAAUUGCGAAGGCAGCUGGCUACACGAAUAUUGACACUGAUGCACGAAAGCGUGGGGAUCAAACAGG
rnacentral:rRNA from 1 species